rnacentral:rRNA from 1 species
GACAGAGGGGGCAAGCGUUGCUCGGAAUUACUGGGCGUAAAGGGGCGCGUAGGCGGGAUGGCAAGUCGGUCGUGAAAUCCCUCGGCUCAACCGAGGAACGUCGAUCGAUACUGCUGUUCUUGAGGAUUGCAGAGGAGACUGGAAUUCCCGGUGUAGCGGUGAAAUGGUGUAGAGAUCGGGAGGAACACCGGUGGCGAAGGCGGGGUCUCUGGGCAAUUCCUGACGCUGAGGCGCGAAAGCGUGGGGAGCAAACGGG